CCUGGUGGCUCAGAUGGUGAAGUGUCUGCCUGCAAUGCAGGAGACCAGGGUUCGAUCCCUCGGCCAGGA
rfam:Ovis aries breed Texel chromosome 1, whole genome shotgun sequence.